rnacentral:lncRNA from 1 species
GACAAAUUCAACAAAAUGUAGAAGGCAAGGACCAUAGGUUUUAGAACUAGGAAAUUAGGAAAUUAAUUUUAGUUAUACACUAAAAGGAGUGUAUAACACAGAGAUAAGUGCCUGAGCUCCUUAGACAAAUUUGGAAAGUUGCAUCAUAUUCUCAAUUGCAAAUAUCCUCUUAGUGACCUCUGAUCAUGCUGACACAUUCACAAUAAUAGAGUACAACAAUUCUGAGGUAUGGUCUUCGGCUCCUGAAGAAAUAGAUCUGUACUUGUGAGGAGAGAUGCCUAACAGAUUUAAUUUAUUCUCAGGAAUUAGAUGAAAGACAGAUGUAAUUAUAUGAAAGACAACAUGGGGAUGCCAUGGCUUUCCUGUUUCUAGAUCUAGAAACAGAAAGGUGCAAACUUGGAGACAAUUUGCCUUAUAUCAGUAUAUGUUGAAGCUGGAUACUAAACCAAGAUUUGCAUAGAACUAGCCAACUAGAAAAGCUUAAGUGUGAGAAAUAAACCCUGUUCUUCUCCAGAGUUAGAGGUUUGAUCUGUAGCUUCCUUUUCAGUAUAAGGGUAACUGGCACCCUUAUGUAAAACAAUAGACUUUGAAACAAAUACCGAAAUACUGCAACUAGGGCUGCCUUUUCUUUUGUGGUAGUGUUCUAAGUAGAACACUUGGGAAGUUUUAAGACUUCAGAAACCUUCAUUUCAGUUUGCUGAUUUGCAGGAUGGAUUCAACUCUGAGUGCUGUACUGAGUCAGCAUGUUACCAGCCUUUCAAAUGGAGAUUUGAAAUGUGCAUUAAAUUCUCUGCAAAUUCCUGAGGAUUCUGGAUUAUGUAAUGAAUACAUGAGCACAGCAGUUUCAUAGUUCAUCAUUGAACAUUCUGCCUGUGGCCCAGCUGGUAGCACCCAGGAAGCUGGAUUUUGCAUGGCAAGGCCAGAGCACUGAAAUACAGAAGUAUAUAACAACAUGUUAGAAAUGUGAGGUAUAACAUGGCAGAAAUACAGUGUGAGUCAAGCAAUAAUGUAUGUUUUCCCAUCUAUUUAUGAUAUGAUCAUAUGUAUCAGCAAUUUGCCUCUCUUGUAGUAUUUUACAGGCUGCCUGGAUUCUAGAAGAUAUCUGAAAGUUUUCUUACAUUUCUUAUUUUCACUUUCACUUCUCUGGCUUAUAUAAAAAAAGGCCUUUUAAAAUGUAUUUGUGGGUACGCAACCUUCUAUUUCAAACACAGAUGGUACAUCUGCAUUUAUUAUUUAGACAUGUUAAGUGGAACCUAUUGUAACUAUAAUUUGUUCUUUCUGACUUAUUAAAUUUGGAUAUGAUACA